rnacentral:rRNA from 1 species
AUGAGGCAGACCCGUCGGACCACUGCACAGAGCUGCCGCUCUGGCAUCCGGGAUCCACUGCAAGCCGUAGCCUACCGGAAUCCCACCACCAGGCGCGCUGACCGUCGGACAAAGCCAACUUUGAGCACAACCGGCACCACGCCACCACCACCAACCAUCCUCAACCACGCCGGAGAAGGGAGCAACCCAGACGCGCAACCACCACCGCUCAGGGCCGCCGGCCGGCGCCCGAGCCCACACCACCCAGAGGAAACCGGAUCUGGGUCGGAUGCCCGAUAUCCGUCGCCACCAGCCACAAAGGCUGCCCCCCAUGCUGCCCCUGCAGCCGUGGCGGCACAGCCACCGCCGGAGUCCCCUGGGGCCGCCGCCCAAGCAUCCCGCUUCCGUCGCGCCGUCGGGCGCCCAGGGGCGCCAUCGCGCCGCAACCGGAGGCCUCCUCGCGAGGUACGGAGGCGAGCCCGCCACCGCCGUCAGCCAAGCGAGCUUCGCUCGCCGGCCUCCUCCGGCGGCGGCGGGGAGAGGAGGGGGAGGAGAGGAGGGGGCGGCGGCGGCUAG